AUUGCAGAACUAAAUACCAAAAGCAGGAGGUCUACCCAUAUCCAUACAUGAAUAACCCUCCCCGUUUUACGAUAACCCCAUAGUUAUUACAAAUUAUUACAGACUAUUACAGACCCGAAUGAAUAAAUAAAAGUAAAAUACAUCAGAAAACUAAACAGUCCCAGCCAAGGAGAUUAUGACUCAGACUUCUGUCUGAAGCAUGGAGUAAACCAAUUCCCAAGAUCAGAUUUCCAAAGCCUUUCUCUUAUUUGGGAUGUGUCAGAGUUCUCUAAGAUUCUCAAGCAGAUUUCGAGCAGUGCUUACACCUAAAUAUAUUGCAGAAUUGGAUUAUGGUGCAGUGUGGAAAGGCCAGCCCUCAAAUGUCCAAGUUCAGAGGGAAACUCAAGGUUCCCAAGGCAAGGCUCAUAGGAGUGGGGCAGAACUUAGGGUCUAAGAGUAAGUGCAAGUGCAGUAAAAGGAUAAGAGGCAAGAUGGUGGUCAUAACUAGCAAUUUGUGGUGUUGGCACACCCCUGACCAGCUUGUCAGUUCAAAUUGAGGAGUUAAGACCUAUUGAAGGUCAGGUUCAGCCAUAGACAACAAAUUGGGUGCUGCUAGGCUAUACCUUAACUCAGUAUACAUAGGGCAAUGGGGGUAUGGGGAGUUGAAAGAGACAAGAACAGGAUGUGGACACGUCAUGCAAUAGGGAAUGCUAACAUGCCUAAAAUCCUGUUAAACUAUUUAGAGGCUAGGAUCCAGAAGAUAUGUUUUAAUCCAUUGACAAUAACUUUAUUUUUCCAUGCUUAAGCCAUAGCUCAAACACAUAAAAGGGUAGGGAGUAGGGAUUAAUUGCAUUUGCAGGAAAGUAAAGAAAACAGUAGCAUAUGAACAUGUCAACCUCUGCAGGUAACAGAUAUUGAUAUAAAGAUUAUAAGUAAACACAUUAGGAUUAUGCUGGGAAUCGAAUUAAAACAUACCGGUUUAAAAAGAUAAACAAAUAGGAAGCAACAGUCUUGUGGAAGCCAAAGUGCCGACAAAGAAUACUUAAAAGAGAUUGUGAAAAUUGUAAGUAUGAAGUCUGAAGUGUAUUUAGCUCUCUGUUUGUGAAAACAGGGUCGGGUAUUUAUAGUUUGAAAAUAGGCAGAAGUAAGGGAAGAAUUAUGGUAAUUAUGGAACUAUGUAUCAAUUACAAUCAAUCAACAUAGGCACUUCCUUUAAUUAAUCAGUCUAAACUCAAACGGUAAUGGACAACAAGCAGUUAAGGAAAGAAAUCAAGUGAACAUCUUGUGUAAAGUAGGAAAUUAGGGGUAAAUACAUAGGGCUAUAACUAAGGAAAGAAUUUUUAAAAUACACGGUUAUCCCAAAUAAGGUAAGAACACAGCAAUCAAUUAGUACAUAGUAAAUCAAGGAAUCAAUGAUUUAAAACUGACCAAUGAACCAGGUCAGAAAUAAGGGAAAGAAAGGUUCACGUAGGGAAAAUCAGGAACAAUAAAAUAAACACCAUCAAAUUGAUUCAGAAUCAAUUAGUAUUUGGCAAGACCUCUUGAAAGAAGAAUUCUCUUAUAUAAGGUACACAAACAUGUGAGUCAAGAAAAGAAUGUCGAAUUAUGUAAGAGAGAGGAGUUCAGAAUCAUUAAGACUCAAAAGUCAUGAGCAAAGAGAUACAAGUUCAAUUUGCAGACUCACAAUGAGUCUGAGAGUACAGGGUCCUAAAGCAGAGCCUUAACUCGAAAGAAUCAAAAUCCUCAGAGGAAACACCCAAAUCUUAGGGUCUCAAAAUUGAAUACAACAUGGAAGCAAGCCAUUUGCUUCAAAGUCUCAACAAAACAGAUAUGAUAGCAUAUUGAAUGAAAAACGAAGAAGAAUCAUGAAGAACAUAUUUUGAGAAACUCGGAACCUAAACAAGUUUAGCAGAAGGAGAUAAUACAACGUGAACAUAAGUAGAUAAAGCAUGUAAGAAUAUGAACAAAGUCCAGUAAACAAAAAUGAAAUAACUCAACAGUAAACACACAUAAUAAAAGAGUAGAGAGAACAUAGCUAAGAUUAACAGGAGUAACAUGCAACAGAAGCAAAAUGCUUAGCAGAACCCUAAACAUGGCUCAAUUGAAGGCAGACAAAGAACCAUAAUGACUUAGCAAGAAAUGUAUAGUAAAAAAGACAAGAAUCGCCGAGAAAAGUAAAGCUGAAAGUAUAUUGGAAAAUAUAGUACGAUAAACAUACAAGCACAAGAUAAAAAUACAAUAUAAAAGUCUACAAGAACAUAUUAUAGAGAAACACAGUACAGUAAAGGACACACAAAGAAGAAAAAAACAUAAAACUCCUGAACAUUUUCUAGAAAACCCUAAAUCAGCAAGAAUGUUUAUUUGAAGGUAAUUUUCAAAGAAAGAUUUAGGGAAAUCAUUUGAAAACUUACGCAUAUCAUAGAUAUACAACAGAUCUAAAAAGAAUCGAAGAAAAACCUCGAAUAACUAGGGUUUCAGAGGAAUCCUACGGUGAGAAAGGCUUUGGAAAAGGUCCGAUCUAAGUCGGAUAUGGUUAGAAUAAUGCUUAGGAGGCUAGGAUAUGCCGGAGCAAAGCCUGGAUAUGGCUGAAAACCUUGAGUCAGCGAAGGUCUGGUCUCGAACCUUCAGGCAUCAUGCACACAGGAGUAAUAACAGGUGAGUUUAUGUCAUCUAUGGCCUGAGAAGCCAUGGAUUCUUGUGGGGUUGUGGUCAGAAAGGCGGUGGAGUUUAUCGGAGAAGACAGAACCAGAAGGUUCUAGAGAGAAGGGAGAGUGAUAGACAAUAUUGAGAGAGAGACAGUCG
rnacentral:lncRNA from 1 species